rnacentral:lncRNA from 1 species
CUAUUUCAUUAGCAGUUUUACUCAGCUGCUGGCAGGGCCCCAGCACGGCUGCCUCUGUGGCUAGAGGGGUGCAGGGGGUGCUGGGCUCCAGGCCAGGCAGUGCCCAUUUCCACAGAGCCAGUGCCCCCACACAGCCACAUGCAGCAGCUUCCUUGCUACACCACGGGGCCUCCCUGGGGACUCUGCACCUGCAGCGCACACACUGUCCCCACCUGGCCCUGCCCACGGGGCUGCUGCAGAGGCGGGCUGCCAGCUCUCGCUCCCUGGGGAAUCUGGAAUCCCAAACUGGGAGACGGGGCGGGGGCGGGGCGAUAAUAUCUGCACCAGCUGCGAAGAUCAAAGCACCUGUGCACGAAUGGCUGACCCAGAGUCUGGCCCCCUCAUAUGUGACCCACGCCCCGUGAAGGCUGCACCUGGAAACCUCUUUGCCACGUCGCCAUCGUGGGCUAGUCUCGAGCUGCGCCCCAGCCAGAAUCCUAUGUAUUUGCAAACUGAGGACAGAGAGGGUCAGCUGUGUGUCCACCACUGUCCACACCGAUUUUAGAUAAUUUGGUUUCCUCUUUAAAUAGCGUUUAAGGGAACGAGCAAACUGUCACCUCCUGAAACAAGUUUCCAAUAGAUUAAAGUGGGUCUUGUCUAUAUAGCACGCUCUGAAAUGAUCCUUGCCCAUGUUGCCGAUUAAAUGCUUAUGUGCUCACUGUCUCUUGGCCCCCAAAUAUAGGGCCUGCCUUAAACCUUCAAACCAAGGCGGCAGUGCCUUCGUGUUAGAGUCCACUUCUUUUUAUUGCCUCUUGCCUAGAAAAUUAUCGCAGGGGUGCACAUGCUGCAUCUCCCACGAACAGUUGUCUGAGGCUGGGCUAAUAGAAUGUCUCAUAAACCUCGAAAAGAUGUUUCAAGAACACCUCCUCCUCUUGGGGCCAUUCCCAGCCGAGUUCCAGAAUCCUCAGGCCAGCAGGGAGAUGGUGUCUGUUGGGACACUGCGGAGGGACCCCUUGUUGAGGUGGUGGCCCCAGUCCUGCCUUGGGGACCCAGCCCUGCCCUGUUCCAUCCGCAUGGCCAUGCAGGGGACCCUCAGGAGGCUCCCACCAGGCAGCUGAAAAGGCACAACACUGGGAAGACCCAGGGCCAUUCCACCAGGGUCCUGACCAGUCCUCAAAACCGCCAAGGUCAUGAAAAACAAGGCGAGUCUGAGAAACCCACAGCCUAGAGGAGCCCACGGAGUGAGGAGCAAAUGUUUCCUGGGGUCCUGGACGGGGCCCUGGGACAGGAGGGCGUCAGGGAAGUGCAGCAUCCGGCUCCUUGCCGUGGACAAUGCUGGCACUCUGGCCGUGACCAAUGUCGCCUGUGACGUGAGACCUUAGCACCCCGGGGGGCUGGGCGUGGGUGUGUGGCGCUCUCUGAACUAUCUUUGCAACUGUCUCGUAAAUUUAAAACAAUUUAUUUAUUUAUUUAUUUAUUUUGAGAUGGAGUUUCACUCUUGUAGCCCAGGCUGGAGUGCAAUGGCACGAUCUCAGCUCACUGCAACCUCCGCCUCCCGGGUUCAAGUGAUUCUCCUGCCUCAGCCUCCCGAGUAGCUGGGAUUACAGGCGCUCACCACCACGCCCAGCUAAUUUUUGUAUUUUUAGUAGAGAUGGGGUUUCACCAUGUUGGCCAGUGUGGUCUCAAACUCCUGACCUCAGGUGAUCCACCCGCCUCAGACUCCCAAAGUGCUGAGAUUACAGGCGUGAGCCACUGCACCUGGCUUUUUUUUCUCUUUUUCUUUUCUUUUUUUUUUUUUUUUGAGACAGAGUCUCGCUCUGUCACCCAGGCUGGAGUGCAGUGGUGUGAUCUCGGCUCACUGCAACCUCUGCCUCCCGGGUUCAAGCGAUUCUCUUGCCUCAGC